UCAUAUUGGUAAAAGUCAUACAUAAUAUGCAUUUUUCCUGUAAAAGGAAAGUUGAAUAAAAGUGUUUACUAUGAAAGUUAGAGAUGAUUUUGAAUUAAAUAAUUAAAUAAUAGAACUUUUAUUUAUUUGUUCUUUGAUCAGAUGCACAUUUUUCAGGCACUAUAAGAUACUUUGAUUUUUAAUAUGAUAAGACUGAGACAAAAAUAUCUACUUGUCAACUGAAAUUCUAGUGAGAACAUUAGAUAUAUACACAAAAAUUAAAAUAGGAUACAAAUGAAAAAUGCACACAAAUGGGCAUUAGAUAAAUGAAAAAAUAUUUGUACUCAUUGGUUAUUAUAAAACAUAAAUUACAUUUUUUUACUUAUCAGAUUAGCCAAAUUUAAAAGGAUUGGUGGCCAGUUAUGGUUAAGAUAGGGAGAAAUAGGAACUUGCAAACACUAGUUUGGUAAUGCAACAGAAAAUUUAGAGAAGGUAAUUGGGAAGAAUGUAUUAAAUUUUAAAUGGGCCCACCUAUACCACAGUAAUUCCAUGUGUAGGUGAUUAUUCUGACAUAGCAGACAUAUGAGUUUUAUUUGAACUACAAACCAUAUAAGUUAUCACUAUAUAUUCAGAAAGUGUGAAGUUCUUUAUUUCUUCCCUCUGUGAAGGAAAAAGGGAAAUUAAUUUAGUUAUAAGCCACCCAUCUGAGCUUUAAUUUUCAAGGGCAAUAAUUACCUGAAAACUUCAUGUUUUUUAAUAACUGUAUUUCCUUCCCUCUAAACUUGUGUAGUUAGAGUAGGUUAUGCUUUUUCUUUGAAUAUAAUAAAACAGUGGAAGAGAUGACAGAAGAAAAGAGUAAGAAGAAAAAAAAAUCUUAAGAGGAUUUGUGGGAGGGGAUUUUAUUCCUAUUUUAUUUUCCCUAACAGUUCACCACAUCCAUCUCUUUAUAUUUACAAUGCCAUUAUUAGCUGGAAAACAAACUCAAUCUGGGAUUUAAAGAUUAUUGGGCCAGUUUACAAAAUUUAGGACAUCCAGAACUAGGUAGAAUGUUCUCUGAUGAUAUGAGCCUAAACAACUGUGAAGUUCUAGGUUUUAAUAUCUACUGAAAGUCAAUUAUUUGACAUAUAUUUCUUGUGAGUGAUAAUAAACAGCUGUGCUUCUUUGACACUAUUUGAAAGCAGUAACCUGGUAACAAAAAGAUAAUAUGUAAAUUGCUCAUUUUUAAAACAGUAAAUUUGGGAAUGAAACUAAACGAUUACAACUAAAAUGUUGCAUGGGGCCCCCAGUGACUGAAAUAAUGCCAGUUGCCAUUACUGCUCACCUUGAUUAACAGCUGUGCAUCAUGCCACCUAGACCCUUAAAAAGGAUCCUUUACGUUUUCAGUGUGGCUGUCAGUGUAAUCAGUACAUAUCCACAUUCAAUAAUUCACCAUAUUGAUGCAUUAUUCCAAGUAAAUAUGACAUAAUCACAUGAGAAUAUGAUAAAUUUCCUAGUUUACAUUCCAAAAAUAUUUAAAACUGAAAUAUGUUAGUAUGCUAACAAUACUAAAAUAAAUGAAUAAGUAAAUGAAUGAAUGAAUAAAUGAAUAAAUAAAUAAAUAAAUAAAUAAAGUGUUCUAAGGCUGCUGAAUGACUUUUUAGAUAGUUCUGAUUGACAGCUGAACCAAGGCAUGUACCCCUCAGGUUGGGCCUACCUUCUAGAGCAAUGGAGAAUUUUGCCUUUUGAGUCAUGCAGCAAAUUGUACUUGACAAGCCCUCCCCAGAUGAGUGAAGAAACAGACAUAUUUUGAAACCCUCAAACUUUACCAUAUAGCUUAUGUAUUUGUUAUGUUCAAUGUUUGUGUUAAAAUGAUAUGAUGGUGAUGUUUAUAAUGAAAUGACAAUCCUUUUAAAAAUUAUCACAUUUUUUAAUAUAUUAAGAAGGAACUAUAAAAAGAAUUAAAAUAAUAUUUACUGAAUGCCAAGUGAAUGUCACACACAUGAUUUCUUUAAGAGAAAUAGUGCUUGUUUGGGUAUUCCUAAUAGUCUAAAUUUAUUUUCAUUUAUUUUUAAAAGUGUCUUAAUCUCCAAACCCAGGCUAUAUGCAGUUAGAAAUCUAACGUCUUCUUAUCAGUAACAUUAUGAAUUUUCUGAUAUCUUUUCUUUUCCUCUAAGAAAUUUUCGCUAAGAUUUAUUUCCACCUAUGCUCAAUUACUCUUCUCUGUAUUACUUUUUUUGUUUAUUCUCUCAUAUAUAUCCCAUAUAAGCCCCAAAGUAAAGUGAAGCUCUCUAUUUCCUUUAUUGGCUCCCAACAUUCAACAGGCACAUGACAAGUAGUGAAAUAUUGGAUAAUCAAGAAGCAGCAUGGCUUGGAAACUGACGUAAAAUUUAAUAGCUUACAAAACAUAUUUGUUCUUGCAAGUUUACUAGCCAUUCCUCUUAACAGGCACGUUUUCUCCCAAGUCCCUGCUCUUAAGAAAACUGCUGUCUUUCUCAUUGAAUCUUUUUCCUUUUUCUUUCUAACUCUAUCCAAAACUACUUCUUUAGGGCAUUCCCCACGUUCCCUGUCUCCCCUUACAAAAAUAUUAUACUUCUUUCACAGAUCAAAUCAGCCAUCCAUUUAUUUAUUCAUUAGCUUCUAAAUCUUAAGAUUCAUACUAUGUUUUUAUACAAAAAAAAAUGCCAAAAAUGCACUUUACUAAAAGAACAAGCACAAAAAAAUUACCCUAAGGUUUUUACAUUAAAGAUAGAAUCUUUAUUCGAAAAGGUGUUGAUACUCUCACUUUCAAAAAAAAAAAAAAAACACUGAGACUCAGAGAUUAGUUAGCCUGUCCAAGUCACACAUUUGGUGAGAAUUUGUAUUUGUAUCAGUAUGCCUGUUGGUAUGAACUCUCGCCUUUGAAUUUUUGUUUUUAAUUGACAUUAUUGGUACAGCCACUGUAAAAAACAGUACAGAGGUUUCUUGAAAAAUUUAAAAAUAGAACUAUUCUAUGACCCAGCAAUUCCACUCCUGGGUAUAUCUUUGAAAACAAAAACACUAAUCUGAAAAUACAUUUACUUCAACACUAUGUACAGUUGCCAAGGUAUGGAAGCAACCAAAGUGUCCAUACACAGAUGAAUGGGGAAAGAAGAUGUAGUGUGUCUAUAUACAUGGAAUAUUACCCAGCCAUAAAAAGAACAGAAUUUUGCCAUUUGCAGCAAUACAGAUGGUCUUAGACGGCAUUAUGUUAAGUGAAAUCAGACAAAGACAAACACUACAUGAUAUCACUUAUGUGUGGAAUCUAAAAAAUACAACAUACUAGUGAAUAUGACAAAAAAGAAAUGUGAUAUUUCUAAUGAUAUUUUUACAUACACACACAUAUGAUAUCUGCAGGAAAAUCUAAAAUCUAGAAAAUAUGUAUAGAAUACUUAAUAUCUUCACCUACAGGUAUUUUGUUGAAUCUAUUAUCUGUUUAUAAUCUCUGUUUAAACAACUGCUGUACAAACACUUGUGCUUUGAAACCUAUGUGUUCUUCCAGAAGAUAUCAUUGAAAGUAUCACAUUUUAUUUCCAUGUUAUGCCUCUGGAGGCACUCUGAAAGCAUUUUAAUUAAGUCCUUUUGGAUAUAAUACUUUCUACUACCUUGGAUAAUUGUCAGGUAUUAAAUUAUUAGGUUUUUGAGUAAACAACAUUUGAGAAAAUGUGGGAGAAAAUAAUAUAUUUUAUAAAAUGUUGUAAUAAAGUUCACAAUUGACCUUUGACUAUUAGGAAUUAUAUAUUUGUUGUUAAAAUGUGUAAUGAACUGUUGAAUUAUCAGAAAGUAAAAACAAAAACAAAAACAAAAACAAAACCUGUGACUUCCUCCUAGAAAGGUUUCAGGGUAGCUUCCAGCUUCCACCUUUAUCAAACAAAUAUAAAGGGUUAUGUUACACUUAAAAUCAAAUGGAAGAGGUAGCCAUUGUUGUUUCAUAUUGUUGCUCAUUACAUUCCUUUACGGAAUUCCACCAUAACUGCAUCAUAAGUUUUUUACCAGGUAUAUAUUAAACACUUCUAUUUCAGAGUAAAAAUAGAUGCAAAGACCAUGGAUACAUAGAACUUAUGUGUUUGUUCUAGUCUAUCUUUCCCUAUUACUAUAUCUACUUCUGCCUUCAUGUGCUUGAGCUACCAUAACAGAAUACCAUAUAUUGGGUGGCUUAAAAACAUAAGUUCAUAUUCUCACAGACUUGGAGCUUGGAAAGUCUAAGACGAAGGUGUUAGUAGGAUGGGGUUUCUGGUGAGAACUCUUUGCCUGGGUUGCAGAUGGCUACCUUCUUGCUGUGACCUCACAAUGUAAAGAGAAAGAGCAUGGCUGUUUUUCCUUUACCUCUAAGGGCAUCAGCUCUAUCAGGUCAGGGCCUCACUCUUAUCAUAUAACCUUAUUUAUAGUUUAUCCCCAAAUAGAAUCAUAUUGGGAGUUACGGCUUCAACAUAUAGAUUUUAGGGGAAUAUAUAUUCCAUGGCAACUCUUUUGUCUCUAUGUAUAAGGAAAGUAAGAAAAAUCAAUUUUGCAAAAUUUUUUCAAUCUAAAUAAAAUGUUAAUUUUAUUUUUAAAAGCGGCAGAAGUUUUCAGAAAUGCUUGCUGCAGCACAGAAAAUGAGACUAUUAACUGUAGAAAAAAAUGACCCUGUCAACACUUGAUCAAUGUGUUGCCUUCUGAUUAACUUUGUCUGUU
rnacentral:lncRNA from 1 species